UACGAAGGGGGCUAGCGUUGCUCGGAAUCACUGGGCGUAAAGCGCACGUAGGCGGAUUGUUAAGUCAGGGGUGAAAUCCUGGAGCUCAACUCCAGAACUGCCUUUGAUACUGGCGAUCUUGAGUCCGGGAGAGGUGAGUGGAACUGCGAGUGUAGAGGUGAAAUUCGUAGAUAUUCGCAAGAACACCGGUGGCGAAGGCGGCAUCCUGGACCGGUAUUGACGCUGAGGCGCGAAAGCCAGGGGAGCAAACGGG
rnacentral:rRNA from 1 species